UUUUUAUCCAGAAAGGUGGAGGGAUCAGGCCCAUUGAAACCUUAGCAACCAUANNCUUUUNUNAAAGUNAAGGUGCUAAUUCCUGACUCAGGUUUUAAAUAAAAUGAGUAAAGAUAAUNG
rnacentral:ncRNA from 1 species